GCUGAAUUACUAUGGACAGCCACCAGUGUGCGAGUUUACAUCUAACUUCCAGGUUUAGACUUCUCUGACUUUGGAAACAUGACCACAAAGGCCAUCAUCUUUUGCAUAUGGCUGGGAUAAAUUAUUUGGCCAGCUGGGAAUCCAAAGAAAAGCAUCAAAAUAUGUUGGCACCACAAAUGUCUUGGAACCAAGAUUUUGAAAUCACACCCAAAGAAGUGACAAGUUGCGAUUUCCCACCAUGUGGUGCUACAUGGAGCAGGGAAGGAGGGAGCGCAAUCUGAAGACGCAGAAUGCAAGCAGGCCUUAUGAUCUGGCUGAUCAUAAGCCCUGGAGUGAACAGCUCAAGAA